UUGGAGGGCAAGUCUGGUGCCAGCAGCCGCGGUAAUUCCAGCUCCAAUAGCGUAUAUUAAAGUUGUUGCAGUUAAAAAGCUCGUAGUUGAAUUUCGGGAUUCUUCCGUUGGUCAGGCUAACAAGUCUGUACUAGCGUGUAGAAUCUCUACCUUCUGGGGAACCAUCAUGUUAUUAAUUUAGCGUGGUGGGAAACCAGGACCUUUACCUUGAAAAAAUUAGAGUGUCCAAAGCAGGCUUACGUCUGAAUACAUUAGCAUGGAAUAAUAAAAUAGGACGGUGGUCCUGUUUUGUUGGUUUCUGAAUCACCGUAAUGAUUAAUAGGGAUAGUUGGGGGCAUUAGUAUUCAAUUGUCAGAGGUGAAAUUCUUGGAUUUAUUGAAGACUAACUUCUGCGAAAGCAUUUGCCAAGGAUGUUUUCAUUAAUCAAGAACGAAAGUUAGGGGAUCGAAGGCGAUCAGAUACCGUCGUAGUCUUAACCAUAAACUAUGCCGACUAGGGAUCGGACGAUGUUAAAUUUUAUUGACCCGUUCGGCGCCUUACGGGAAAC
rnacentral:rRNA from 1 species